AAAGGGUGCGCUCCAGCCCCCAACCCAGGCACUGGGACUCUGGUGGCACCCUGGGUGGCAGGCAAGCCUUGAAAUCAAGUGCACGAGCCUUGGAAAGGAGGACCGGGAGAGUUAUGGCAUUUAUGAAUGAAGAAGAGAAAGAGAAUCACUCGGAUGGGAAAAGUUAACUGGAUUGUUCCCACCUGCAUGGAUCACCGGAAGCAACUUAGCCGUCUCGCCUUGCGGCCUGGAACCCCUGGCAAUUUCCGGAGCACCGGCAAGAGACUUUUGCACAGUUUCUGCUUGGAGUCUACCGACUGUCUGUCUCAGAGGUCUGGACAGCUGCUUGUUACAUUUGGCUCACGCUAGCUUAAAAAAGGAAUUUAUGGACCUUACUGCAGAACGUCCCAAUUCUUCAGGCCAAGGUAAAUGCAAGUUGGGGUGGUAGUGAAGUUGCAAACUGCCCCUAAGAAAAAAGGUUAACAAGAUAUUGUUCCUUCCACCCCCGGCCUCCCGUUGGUUCCCCCACCCCAAGAGCCUUCCCACCAGGCUUCAGGGUGACAAACGCUUGGAUUUGAUGGGGCUGAGACUUGCUUGUGCCUUUGUUGAUGGCAGGGCACUUUUAUUGAAACUUGUUGAAAGGAGCUAGCUUCGAAGGCUCCUCCAAGAUUCUACACCACAGGGGGAAGCAGGACUUUGAUUUAAGAUACUCACAUCUGUCAACCACAGGCAUUCAUUCAGUUUUCUCUUUCAUUUGGGGAAGGAAGGGAGAAAAUGAAUCAGAGGCUGAUUUUUUUUUUUCUGGCCUGUUUUCCCCAAGCUCCAGGAAAUUAAGAAACAUGCCAUUAGUUUUAGCAAACAAUUUGAACAAAGUAAAACCAGAUCUCCCACCAAAGGCCGAGGACCAUGAGGGGUCUGAGUGCCCCUGGCCCUGUUUGUGGACUCUGCGGGUCGUGGAGGAGCCAUGAAGUGGGAAGAGAGCUUGGGUGAUACAGGAUGGUGUGCGUGACAGUCCUCCCUGUGUCUUCUUUGCUACCAUAUUUAUCAUAGCUUAGAUGUGUGUGGCCUGGUGGCACCAAAGGUGAACAGAAAGCAUUUUUGGGGCGCCAUGGCCCAGACCUCAGCCUGAACGUUGUGGGAAGCCAGUGGGUGUCUGCAUGUGUUGGCGAGAACCAGUGGGCAUCUCCUUGGAAGCCAGUCCCCAAGGUGGCUCUAGAUGGCUUACUCCUGCAUCUUGCCAAAUCCACAGGGUCCAGCUGUGUCUCCAGGGCUGCGUGGCUUAUUGAAAAAGAGAGUGUAUGGUGGAUUUCAAUAUCUAUAUUCUACAAAAAAUGUAAAAGGGGCAGGGGACGGGAACAAAGAAACCAGUGCUGGUGAUCCUGCCCCCACAGUAAGGUCUGCUUUAGUGUGGACAUGGGACAGGGGCCAGCCCCUGCUGCUCCCUGGGGGAACACAGGUCCGUGGGGGUGGCUCACCGUCAUGUAUGUGAUUUUGAUGUUUGUACAUUUGUUGUACCACAUGAACCAGUCUUGGACGGCUGUUCUGAGUAAAUGGGAUGAUGUGGGUAAAGCCCCCAAGACCAGAGCCUGGCACAGGGCCGUGCUGGAUAAUGCUGACUCAUGGUGAUGAGGGGAAGGAGGAGGCAGGAUGCCAUGGGUGAGGAGUCCAGGCUCCAGUGCUGCUGAACCACCAUCCACCAGUAUGAUCUCAGCAAGCCUCUCUCCACCUGGACCCAGAUGAUUCACCCGUUAAACAUCCCAGGCACAUUGAAGGGAGAUGAACAGCGUCCAGCAUGGUCCUCAGCUGUGAGAAGCCAUACACUCGCCUUUUCCACCCUACAACUUUCCGUCAUCUGGGGUGCAGGUUUCUUUCCUCUCUUUUUACUUAUUACAAGGUAAAAUACAGUCUUAUUACAGAAAACUAGAAACCAGAAAAGCCCAUCACACAGUCAUUCAUUCAACAAAUGCGUAUUGGGAAGGGUGGGGAUGAGCCCCUGGUGGAAAUGGGGUGAAGCUGUGGACUUUCUCUGGGUGCGAUGAAGGCUGACGGAGGGCUUUGAGCAUCCUCAAGAUUCAGAAGUCUGUUCUCAGUCAUCAGCAGCUGUACCAGGAGAGGAAGAACCUCUGAAGUGUUCUGGCUCCAAAAGCUAGUGAAAGUGCAGAUUUCCUGAGAAGGAGUGAAGCUUAGGGCCCUGCCAGGCAGUGAUGCUUUCUCAACUUUGGGGGCAGUAAAAUGUACAGACUCUGGGGAAGGAGACCAGGAAGGAGGCUGCAAAGUGUGCAUGCUCUGGGAAGGGGGCAGGGAAGGCUGGCAAAAAGCUGUUGGGGACCCAGCCAGGCUGCUUCCCUUGGAGGCCCAGCCUGAGAUGUGUUUCCCACCAUAUAUGGCAGAAAUGAUUUCAGGUGCUAUGUAGAUAAGCCACGAACUAUCAUUGAAUCUUUUCUUGGUUGUAUUGUGAAAGAAAAAGUCUCUGUUGGGUGCUGGUGUAUCUUCGACACCACUUAACACUUGUCAAGCUCUCCUUUACUGAGGUAAAGCAGUCCUCAGGCUCAGAGCUUGUGACCAGGGAGCGGUAUCUAGCCAAAAUUUUAUUUCAAUGCUUUGUUUUCAUUGUCUUUAAAACAAAAGAUGGUUAUCUUCCAUUUGCCAUG
ensembl:lncRNA APCDD1L-DT APCDD1L divergent transcript